rnacentral:siRNA from 1 species
AAGUACCAAUAUUAAGAGCACGCC